UACGAAGGGGGCUAGCGUUGCUCGGAAUCACUGGGCGUAAAGGGUGCGUAGGCGGGUCUUUAAGUCAGGGGUGAAAUCCUGGAGCUCAACUCCAGAACUGCCUUUGAUACUGGGGAUCUCGAGUCCGGGAGAGGUGAGUGGAACUCCGAGUGUAGAGGUGAAAUUCGUAGAUAUUCGGAAGAACACCAGUGGCGAAGGCGGCUCACUGGCCCGGUACUGACGCUGAGGUGCGAAAGCGUGGGGAGCAAACAGG
rnacentral:rRNA from 1 species